ACUACGGGAGGCAGCAGUGAGGAAUAUUGGUCAAUGGGCGGACGCCUGAACCAGCCAAGUAGCGUGCAGGAUGACGGCCCUACGGGUUGUAAACUGCUUUUAUACGGGAAUAACGCGCCUUACGUGUAGGGCUUUGCAUGUACCGUAUGAAUAAGGACCGGCUAAUUCCGUGCCAGCAGCCGCGGUAAUACGGAAGGUCCGGGCAUUAUCCGGAUUUAUUGGGUUUAAAGGGAGCGUAGGCCGCAUGUCAAGCGUGCUGUGAAAUGUCCGGGCGCAACCCGGGCCUUGCAGCGCGAACUAGCGUGCUUGAGUCCGCGGAAGGCAGGCGGAAUUCGUCGUGUAGCGGUGAAAUGCUUAGAUAUGACGAAGAACCCCGAUUGCGAAGGCAGCUUGCUGCAGCGGAACUGACGCUGAUGCUCGAAAGCGCGGGUAUCGAACAGGAUUAGAUACCCCUGUAGCC
rnacentral:rRNA from 1 species